GGCUCUUCAGAGACUUUCUCUUCGAGCUCCACUAACCUCCCACUGCCGCCAUCCUGAAUAAACUAUUUUUCUAAGAAUAUGGCAUUUUAACUCACAAUCAUAUUGUGAUCUCAUAGAAAGUAGAAGUAGUAUCUCAUGAAUUCUUUUGGAUACCCUAUAAAGCGAGCUAUAAUAGAUCUAUCCUCUAGCUUAUCCACCAUUUAUCUCCUGACAU
rnacentral:lncRNA from 1 species